rnacentral:lncRNA from 1 species
UUGACCAGAAUGAGGAGCGAGAGGUAGAUCCGUACAAAGUAGUAUGACGAACCAUACGCGCUUCAACAGUGGUUUCAGCAACAAGAAGAUGUGGGCGAAAAUCUUUUAAGAGACAAAGAUGAUUCCCCGAGCAAUCAAGACAGUGCGAAUCAUAUCAUAUUCCGACGGUAAACCAUUCAACGCAGCAAUGGUAAAAUCAUCAUCAUAUAUCUUCACACGAGUGGCAUGCAACUGAUCGUGAAUAUGUUUGAGACGAAGAAUGAAGCAUUCAAUCGAAUGAGUUUCAGAAGUUACCAUACAUUUCGCCAUAUGAGGAUUCCUUGCGCUCAAAGUGGAGCUUGCAGAUUGGAGUAACAAUUGGAGCUUCU